GGUUCGAUCCUGGCUCAGAUUGAACUGGCGGGAUGCUUUACAUGCAGUCAGACGGCUGGACCUUCAGUCUGGGUGGCGGGGUGGCGAACGGGUGAGUAAUGUAUCGGAACGUGCCUGGUAGCGCGGGGAUAACUACGCGAAAGCGUAGCUAGUACAUACGCCCUUCGAGGGGAAAGCGGGGGACCUUCGGGCCUCGCACUAUUAGAGCGGCCGAUAUCGGAUUAGCCUAGUUGGUGGGGUAACGGCUCACCGAGGCGACGAUCCGUAGCUGGUUUGAGAGGACGACCAGCCACACUGGGACUGAGACACGGCCCAGACUCCUGCAGGAGGCAGCAGUGGGAAUUUUUGGACAAUGGGGGAAACCCUGAUCAGCCAUCCCGCGUAUUGCGAUGAAGGCCUUCGGGUUGUAAAGCACUUUUGGCAGGAAAGAAACGGCGCGGGAUAAUACCCCGUGCAACUGACGGUACCUGCAGAAUAAAAGCACCGGCUAACUACGUGCCAGCAACCGCGGUAAUACGUAAAGUGCAAGCGUUAAUCCGGAUCUGGGCGUCAGCGUGCGCGGGCGGUUCGGAAGAAGAUGUGAAAUCCCGAAUACUUUGGAACUGCGUUUUCUUUACCGAGCUAGAGUGUGUCAGAGGGGAGGUGGAAUUCGCGUGUAGCAGUGAAAUGCGUAGAUAUGCGGAGGAACACGAUGACGAAGGCAGCCUCUGGGAUAACACUGACGCUCAUGCACGAAAAGCGUGGAGCAAAUGGUUGAUCACCCUGGUAGUCCACGCCUAAACGAUGUGUCAACUAGCUGUUGGGGCCUUCCGGGCCUUGGUAGCGCAGCUAACGCGUGAAGUUGACCGCCUGGGGAGUACGGUCGCAAGAUUAAACUCAAAGGAAUUGACGGGGACCCACCUGGCGGUGGAUGAUGUGGAUUAAUUCGAUGCAACGCGAAAAACCUUACCUACCCUUGACAUGUCUGGAAUCCCGAAGAGAUUUGGGAGUGCUCGCAAGAGAGAACCGGAACACAGGUGCUGCAUGGCUGUCGUCAGCUCGUGUCGAUGGGAUAUUUGGGUUAAGUCCCGCAACAGCGCAACCCUUAUCGGUAGUUGCUACGAAGACGCUCUAAUGAGACUGCCAGUGACAAACCGGAGGAAGGUGGAUAGUCAGUCCUCAUGGCCCUUAUGGGCGGGGCCACACGUCGCCGUGGUCGGGACAGAGGGUCGCCAACCCGCGAGGGAGCCAAUCCCAGAAACGAUCGUAGUCCGGAUCGCAGUCUGCAACUCGACUGCGUGAGGCCGGAAUCCUUCAAUGUCGCGGAUCAGCAUGUCGCGGUGAAUACGUUCCCGGGUCUUGUACACCGCCCGUCACACCAUGGGAAUUGGGUUUUAUGAGUAGUAGCCUAACCGUAAGGGAGGGCGAUUACCACGGUAGGAUUCAUGGCGGAAGCUGGGGUGAAGUCGUAACAAGGUAA
rnacentral:rRNA from 1 species